AAAUCAAGCGCGAAAAGGGCGUUUGGUGGAUGCCUUGGCAGUAAGAGGCGAUGAAAGACGUGAUACUCUGCGAUAAGCCAUGAGGAGCUGAGAAUAAGCUUUGAUCCAUGGAUUUCUGAAUGGGGCAACCCACCUGACAGUUUGUUAUUGUUACCUUCGGGUAGUCAAUAACGGGCUGAAACAGGUACUUAAGGACUGAAUACAUAGGUCUUUAAGAGCAAACCCGGAGAACUGAAACAUCUAAGUACCCGGAGGAAAGGACAGCAAUAGCGACUCCCCUAGUAGCGGCGAGCGAACGGGGACCAGCCGAGCCUGAUAAGUGACCAGAACAUGUUGGGAAGCAUGGCCAUAGCGGGUGACAGCCCCGUAUGGGAAGCUUUGAAGGACGUAUCAAGUAGGGCGGGACACGUGAAAUCCUGUCUGAAGAUCGGAGGACCACCUUCGAAGGCUAAGUACUCCUUACUGACCGAUAGCGAACCAGUACCGUGAGGGAAAGGUGAAAAGCACCCCGACGAGGGGAGUGAAACAGUACCUGAAACCGAACGCCUACAAUCAGUCGGAGCUUCCUUGUGGAGUGACGGCGUACCUUUUGUAUAAUGGGUCAUCGACUUGGUCUAUCCAGCAAGCUUAAGCCGUUAGGUGUAGGCGCAGCGAAAGCGAGUCUUAAUAGGGCGUCGAGUUGGAUGGAUCAGACCCGAAACCGAGUGAUCUAGGCAUGACCAGGAUGAAGGUACGGUAACACGUACUGGAGGUCCGAACCCACACCUGUUGAAAAAGGUCGGGAUGAGUUGUGCCUAGGGGUGAAAGGCCAAUCAAACUCGGAGAUAGCUGGUUCUCUGCGAAAUCUAUUUAGGUAGAGCGUCAUCCGAAUACCCUCGGGGGUAGAGCACUGGAUGGGUAAUGGGGCCCCACAGGCUUACUGAUCCUAACCAAACUCCGAAUACCGAGGAGUACUAGAUGGCAGACAGACUGCGGAUGCUAACGUCCGUAGUCGAGAGGGAAACAACCCUGACCUACAGCUAAGGCCCCCAAUUCAUGGCUAAGUGGGAAAGCAGGUGGGACGACCAAAACAACCAGGAGGUUGGCUUAGAAGCAGCCAUCCUUUAAAGAUAGCGUAACAGCUCACUGGUCUAAACAAGUUGUCCUGCGGCGAAGAUGUAACGGGGCUCAAGCCAUGAGCCGAAGCUUAGGAUGCCGUAAGGCAUGGUAGCAGAGCGUAGUGUGACAUAGUCUCAUUCCUCUUUAGGGUCCUUCGGGGCCCCAUGGAGGAGAGAGGCUUUCGAUGAAGCGGGCGCGUGAGCGAUCCCGUGGAGAGAUCACUAGUGAGAAUGAUGACAUGAGUAGCGACAAAGAGUGUGAGAGACACUCUCGCCGAAAGUCCAAGGGUUCCUGCUUAAAGCUAAUCUGAGCAGGGUAAGCCGACCCCUAAGGCGAGGCCGAAAGGCGUAGUCGAUGGGAACCAGGUUAAUAUUCCUGGGCCAGAUGGAAGUGACGGAUUGCAGAGGUUGUUCAUCCUUAUCGGAUUGGAUGGGCCGCUGAGCAGUUCCUGGAAAUAGCUCCAUCAUGAGAUCGUACCCUAAACCGACACAGGUGGACUGGUAGAGAAUACCAAGGCGCUUGAGAGAACGAUGUUGAAGGAACUCGGCAAAAUACCUCCGUAAGUUCGCGAGAAGGAGGCCCGGUUCCUAGGCAACUAGGGGCUGGGGGCACAAACCAGGGGGUGGCGACUGUUUACUAAAAACACAGGGCUCUGCGAAGUCGCAAGACGACGUAUAGGGUCUGACGCCUGCCCGGUGCCUGAAGGUUAAAAGGAGAGGUGAGAGCCUUGAAUUGAAGCCCAGGUAAACGGCGGCCGUAACUAUAACGGUCCUAAGGUAGCGAAAUUCCUUGUCGGGUAAGUUCCGACCUGCACGAAUGGCGUAACGACUUCCCCGCUGUCUCCAACAUCGACUCAGCGAAAUUGAAUUGCCUGUCAAGAUGCAGGCUUCCCGCGGUUAGACGGAAAGACCCCGUGCACCUUUACUACAGCUUCGCACUGGCAUCAGGAUUGUGAUGUGCAGGAUAGGUGGUAGGCUUUGAACCCGUGACGCCAGUCGCGGUGGAGCCUCCCUUGAGAUACCACCCUUCGCACUCUUGAUGUCUAACCGCGGCCCGUUAUCCGGGUCCGGGACCCUGCGUGGCGGGUAGUUUGACUGGGGCGGUCGCCUCCUAAAGCGUAACGGAGGCGCGCGAAGGUUGGCUCAGAGCGGUCGGAAAUCGCUCGUUGAGUGCAAUGGCAGAAGCCAGCCUGACUGCGAGACUGACAAGUCGAGCAGAGUCGAAAGACGGCCAUAGUGAUCCGGUGGUCCCGAGUGGAAGGGCCAUCGCUCAACGGAUAAAAGGUACGCCGGGGAUAACAGGCUGAUACUGCCCAAGAGUCCAUAUCGACGGCAGUGUUUGGCACCUCGAUGUCGGCUCAUCUCAUCCUGGGGCUGGAGCAGGUCCCAAGGGUACGGCUGUUCGCCGUUUAAAGAGGUACGUGAGCUGGGUUUAGAACGUCGUGAGACAGUUCGGUCCCUAUCUGCCGUGGGUGUAGGAUACUUGAGAGGAGUUGCCCCUAGUACGAGAGGACCGGGGUGAACGAACCACUGGUGGACCUGUUGUGGCGCCAGCCGCAGUGCAGGGUAGCUAUGUUCGGACAGGAUAACCGCUGAAGGCAUCUAAGCGGGAAGCCCCCCUCAAAACAAGGUAUCCCUGAGGGCCGUGGUAGACCACCACGUCGAUAGGCCGGAGAUGUAAGCGCAGCAAUGCGUUCAGUUGACCGGUACUAAUGGCCCGAUAGGCUUGAUUUG
rnacentral:rRNA from 1 species